UGGGGAAUUGUUCGCAAUGGGCGCAAGCCUGACGACGCAACGCCGCGUGGAGGAUGAAGAUCUUCGGGUCGUAAACUCCUGUCGAGUGGGAAGAACAGCUUCGGGGCUAACAUCCCCCGGAGCCUGACAGUACCACUAAAGGAAGCCCCGGCUAACUCCGUGCCAGCAGCCGCGGUAAUACGGGGGGGGCAAGCGUUGUUCGGAAUUACUGGGCGUAAAGGGCUCGUAGGCGGCCAACUAAGUCGGAUGUGAAAUCCCCAGGCUCAACCUGGGAACUGCAUCCGAUACUGGAUGGCUUGAAUUCGGGAGAGGGAUGCAGAAUUCCAGGUGUAGCGGUGAAAUGCGUAGAUAUCUGGAGGAAUACCGGUGGCGAAGGCGGCAUCCUGGACCGACAUUGACGCUGAGGAGCGAAAGCCAGGGGGAGCAAACGGGAUUAGAUACCCCGGUAGUCCUGGCCCUAAACGAUGAAUGCUUGGUGUGACGGGUAUCGAUCCCUGUCGUGCCGAAG
rnacentral:rRNA from 1 species